UACGGGGGGGGCAAGCGUUGUUCGGAAUUACUGGGCGUAAAGGGCUCGUAGGUGGCCAACUAAGUCAUACGUGAAAUCCCUCGGCUUAACCGGGGAACUGCGUCUGAUACUGGAUGGCUUGAGUUCGGGAGAGGGAUGCGGAAUUCCAGGUGUAGCGGUGAAAUGCGUAGAUAUCUGGAGGAACACCGGUGGCGAAGGCGGCAUCCUGGACCGAUACUGACGCUGAUGAGCGAAAGCCAGGGGAGCAAACGGG
rnacentral:rRNA from 1 species